rnacentral:rRNA from 1 species
UACGGAGGGUGCGAGCGUUGUUCGGAAUUACUGGGCGUAAAGGGCUCGUAGGCGGCCAACUAAGUCGGACGUGAAAUCCCCAGGCUCAACUUGGGAACUGCGUCCGAUACUGGAUGGCUUGAAUUCGGGAGAGGGAUGCAGAAUUCCAGGUGUAGCGGUGAAAUGCGUAGAUAUCUGGAGGAAUACCGGCGGCGAAGGCGGCAUCCUGGACCGACAUUGACGCUGAUGAGCGAAAGCCAGGGGAGCAAACGGG